AUGGCGCGUCAAUGCCUCUUCCUCCUCCUCCUCGUCGCCGCCGUGACGCCAUUCCGGGUGACCGGCGCCUCCAAGGACGUCACGGGGGGCUACCUUCUGUACGACUGCGAUCCGGAUCCACGGCGGUCCACCAAAGGCACCGCGUUCGGCGCCAGCCUGAGGCCGCUCCUGGCCGCCCUCCCGUCAGCCGCUGCGCCGACGAGCUUCGCCUUCCUCCAUUCCGGCGGGGCCAGGCGGAGCAAUAACAGCACAGUGUUCGCCCGAGGCCUCUGCUUCGGCGAGUCCCCGGCACGGGGAGACUGCCGCGAGUGCCUGGCCACCGCCGUCGAGAGGGCCGGCCACUGCGACGGCAGCCGGCGAGCGGCCUUCUGGAACGACGGCUGCUUCCUGGCCUACUCCGACACCAACGCCUCCGUCUCCGCGCCCGCCGACGAGCGCCGCUGGAUGAGCUUCCUGACCCACGACCCCGUCGUCUACCCGAGGUUCUACGACGCGGAGACGCUGGUGGGCCUGGCGCGGUCGCUGCUGCCCCGCGCGGCGGCGAACAGCCCGGGGGUGUCAGUGCGCAUGCUGGCCGCGGCGAGCGCCGCCCUCCGGGCGAACAGCACCGUGCGCGCGGUGGCGCAGUGCGCCCCGUGGAACGUGACGGCGCCGGAGUGCGCCCUGUGCCUGGCCAAGUCGGUGCGGGACGUGCCGGGCCCCGGCGGCCUGUUCGGCGUGUUCGAGGGCGUCCGGUCAGGCGUGGCCUCGGUGCACCGGUACGACUGCAACCUGCGGUUCGAGAUAUCCGCUCCGGUGAGGCCCAUGGGAAAAGGAGCGAGGAUCCGGAAGAAGAUUCGAGAUAACCUUGUCGUUGUCAUAGUUGUCGCCGUCGUGAUCGCGGUCGCCGUCGUCGCCGGAGCAGCUUUUAUCCCUGUGAGGCGAAAGAAGAAGAUGAAGAAGGAGGCUCAAGCUGGCGUCUCCUCCAACACCUAG
rnacentral:rRNA from 1 species